rnacentral:rRNA from 1 species
UCCGUAGGCGGUGCGGCAAGUCGGUAGUAAGAAAUCUCAGGGUCGUUAACCCUGAGGCUGCUUCCGAAACUGCCGUGCUCGAGUGCGAGAGAGGCGAGUGGAAUUGCAGGUGUAGCGGUGAAAUGCGUAGAUAUCUGCAGGAACAUCCGAGGCGAAAGCGGCUCGCUGGAUCGCAACUGACGCUGAGGGACGAAAGCUAGGGGAGCAAACAGGAUUAGAUACCCUGGUAGUCCUAGCCCUAAACGAUCAGGACUGGGCGUGGGUCUCGUACGGGGCUCGUGCCGCAGCUAACGCGUUAAGUCCUAGCGCCUGGGAGUACGGUCGCCAAGGCUGAA